rnacentral:lncRNA from 1 species
AAAUGGGCUGGUGGUGGGCCUCGAGGGACAAAAUGGGCUGGCGUGGUGGGCCUCGAGGGACAAAAUGGGCUGGCGUGGUGGGCCUCGAGGGACAAAAUGGGCUGGCGUGGUGGGCCCGAGGGACAAAAUGGGCUGGCGUGGUGGGCCCGCGAGGGACAAAAGGGGCUGGCGUGGUGGGCCUCGGGGAAAAAUGGGCUGGCGUGUGGGCCGAGGGACAAAAUGGGGCAGUGUGGAAUAGAAAUACGCAGGCCUAUUUCUAGUCCCAGUCCCUGUGAACAUCAUAUCACAGCGGGUUUAAAGGUCAUACACCAGCUGACUGCUAACAGCCCCAGUGACGAAAGAUGAACCCAGGGGCUCACAGAGUCACCUGAGACCGAUCCCUGAGAUUGUCGGAAGGUUGACUCCUCCAUCAAUGUAUGCCUGUUUGAUUCAUUUUUUCAUUGUUGUUGCAUCACUCAUUGGACCAUCUGUUGCUUCUGUGGAAUAAGUCACGUAUAUAUGUCACCCUGAGUUUCUGUGUUCACACUUGCUAUAGUGACACUGCCCGUCUGACCUCAUUGUAAUGUAGUUCAAGGCCCUGUUUGAGUUCUUUACAAACACAACCUGCCUUCUCCCUUCCUUGAAGCGAUCACUGAUCUCAAAUCAAAUCAAAUCAAAUCAAAUUUUAUUUGUCACAUAACAUGGCUACAGAUGUUAAUGCGAGUGUAGCGAAAUGCUUGUGCUUC